UGUACUAGUUAUGUAAGUAUUGGUGUCUGC
rnacentral:piRNA from 1 species